rnacentral:rRNA from 1 species
CCUACGGGAGGCAGCAGUGAGGAAUAUUGGUCAAUGGACGAGAGUCUGAACCAGCCAAGUAGCGUGAAGGAUGACUGCCCUAUGGGUUGUAAACUUCUUUUAUAUGGGAAUAAAACGUUCCACGUGUGGGAUUUUGUAUGUACCAUAUGAGUAAGGAUCGGCUAACUCCGUGCCAGCAGCCGCGGUAAUACGGAGGAUACGGGCGUUAUCCGGAUUUAUUGGGUUUAAAGGGAGCGUAGGUGGAUUGUUAAGUCAGUGGUGAAAGUUUGCGGCUCAACCGUAAAAUUGCAGUUGAAACUGGCAGUCUUGAGUACAGUAGAGGUGGGCGGAAUUCGUGGUGUAGCGGUGAAAUGCUUAGAUAUCACGAAGAACUCCGAUUGCGAAGGCAGUUCACUGGACUGCAACUGACACUGAGGCUCGAAAGUGUGGGUAUCAAACAGGAUUAGAUACCCCAGUAGUC